rnacentral:tRNA from 1 species
GCUCCUAUGGUCUAGUGGUUAUGACGCUUCGUUGUGGCUCCGAAGCAGCCUGUGUUCGAUUCACAGUGGGGGCA